GUAUUUUUCCUGCUGCUCUUAUGCUCACAAUGUUGCUCCAAAAGAAAAAUAUGUUGCUUUUGUUACAACAGAAGCAGAAAUUGACCAAACUCAGGUUGAAUUAAAACAUGGAAUUGAUCUACUUGGACCAAUAGAUGAGAUUUACUAUGACAUCUAUGACAGAUAUGAACCCACCAACGAUCAUGCUACUGAUGGUAGCUUCAUCUCUACCGUAAAUAUUGAGAAAAAUCUUUGA